UACCAGUCAUUGUCUUUCACACGCUUAAAAAGCAAGAUGUCGUCAACACCUCGACUACCGGUGCCCACCAGCCGAAAUGCAACGCUUGGGCGAAUCAGGACGAUGCUUGGAUAUCUUACAAGCAAAAGGGGGAAAUUUAUGACACUCCACAGUUCUGGAGCUGGAAUAACAUUUGGUGGAACAGCUCUAGCAAUGGUUAUUUUCCUAUUUAAUUUCAAACCAAUCCUAGGUCGGAUUCCCUACGUCAAACAAAGUUACGAAUUACCUCCUGCGGAACCCAAAAAGUAAAAAUGAUGUGAAAGGAUUACAUUCAAAACAAGAAUUGUGUUACCAACUUACUAUGGAAUUCAGUCUGGAGGAGGACAGGUUUUACUUAAUGGAUUGUAGAACAUCAUAGAGAAAUCCCUGAAAGUUUCUCAACUCUGGAACUGUUUUGUGAAUUGUUUUCAAUUUAAAUUAAAUUUAGGAUAAAAGUGUAUUAAAAGUGUCAUGUUUAAUA